rnacentral:lncRNA from 1 species
GUGACAAUGAUGGAUCCUUAGUUUGCUGUGCCACAAGGGAACUCCCUGUUCUGUUUGGUUUCUGACAGGGCUAUCAGUACAGAUUUCCAGAGAAUGAGAGCUUGGAGUAACCUGCUGGUACAAUAUACGGUAUCAUUCCUUCUACUCGGUUAGUUCCCCACCAAUAAUCCUGGCCAUCCAUUAGGCAGAAGCUAAGUGUGGUUAAUGUCAGCAAAUGAACUGACUGGCAUAGAAAUCAAAAUUCACCAGGGAGAAGGGCAAAACCGCUAACAUAUUUUCAGUUGUAACCAGAUCAAACUGUAAGUGCCUAAUAAUAGAGGUAGAUAAAGAAGUAAGAUCUCCUUUGGAAACAGCUCUGUUCCAGAAUUUCACAGAAAAAUAUUAUAAUGAAACAUGAUGUACAUGGGACCAUAACAAUAGAUGUUCUACUAACCAGAGUUAAAUUACACAUACACACCCACCCCCACAGACACAUACACAUGCAAAAGGUAAAGGACAGUCAGUAUAUUGGGCCAGAAAGUUGUCUGAUAUUGGACUAAAGACAUGGUUGCUUAGGGCAAGGAUUCCACAUUCAUACCUUUUGACUAGCAAACACGGUGUGUGAAGCAUGGCUAGAAGUAGAAAAACGUGAUCUGAAUUCCAGUUCUGCCACCUGAUAGCUGCAUGAGUGGGUAAAUUACGAAGUGACUCUGCUCUCAGCUUCUUCAUAUAUCAAGAGGAGAGAAUUAUUCCUGCUUCUUAGGAAUGUCAUGCAAAAAGCACUUGGCACAUAGCAGGUGAUCAGUACAGAGAGUACCUUUCUCAUUCCUACUUUGCACACCCCGGAGCACCAAGUACACAUAUGAGGGCAUUAUCUAUGUUCAACAAUUUUCUGUCUUCAUGCUUUGAAUUUUUUGUUCUCAUUUCUUCAAAUGGGUUAUGAGUUUCCUGAAAGGUUCAAGAUCUUACCUUCCACACAUCCUUUGUCAGGAAGCUAUGGGCAUACAGAGUCCACCAAAAGGAGUUAGUCAAUAAAUACACCAACAGAGAAACAUAAGGGAUGCAGAAACAGGGGAUCUGACAAAGGAAAGACAGAAAGGAGAGGUGGUGGGAGGGCCUAUGACGAUGCUGUGUCAGCAGGCUUAGACUGCUGUGGGCACAGGCGGCUUCUGGGGAGACAUAUCUGGGAAAAGAAACGGAGCAAAGAGUGACCUGACAGGAGUUAGAGGGAAGAAAAUGCACUGGGGUGCUUUGCAGAGCUCUUGGAUGGUAUGACAAGACUGAGCCAGAGAUUCAAAGCAACUUCACACAUGAAGGAAAAGUUGGACACUUCACUCCUGGAGAGGAAUUAUAAAUACUGAUUGUCUUAGCUGGAAACAUCAUUUCCUCAUGAGGCUGAAAACACAGAUAGGGCCUUAAGCAAAAUCUUGACAUGAUCAUAAGGUGGCAAAGGGGAGGGGGAGGAAGGGUUGGAAAUGGAAUAAAAAUCACCAUCCAUUAUACUAAGAAGUAGGAGAGGGAGUUCCCGUUGUGGUUCAGUGGGUUAAGAACCUGACAUAGUCUCAGUAAAAAUGCAGGCUCGAUUCCUGGCCUCGAUUAGUGGGUUAAGGAUCCAGCGUUGCCGUGAGCUGUACUGUAGGUCACAGACGCGGCUCGGAUCUGGCGUUGCUGUGGCUGUGGUGUAGGCCGGCGGCUACAGCUCUGAUUCAGCCCCUAGGGCUGGGAACCUCCAUAUGCCGCGGGUACGAUCAUAAAAAGCAAACAAGAAAGAAGUAGGAAAUACUGACUAAAAUUAAUAAAUCAAGAAGUAGUCGGUAUGGAUAAACUUAGAAACAUGAUAGUAAAUACCAGAAGCAGCAACUCAAAAUGAUAACAAUAGUUUCCUCUAGAGACUAAGGGUGAGGGAAGGGGUGCCAGAGAAUGAAUUUUGCAUUUUAGCGCUGCUUAUCUUUUUAAAUUAUGUGCAUGUGUUAUUUUGAUAAAAAUAAAAAGUUUUUAAAAUGAGGACAGUAAUUGCAUUUUAUACUCAUAAAAUUCAGAAUAAUAGAGUGAAAUUGUAACAAAGGACGUAAACAAGGCCUGAUUACUCAAGGCAAAAAAAAAUACUCAGCAACAAACUUGUUUCCAGAACUCACAUGCUGUAUUUCUCAUUCCCAUGACGUUCCUAUCACACAGCCUAUCAGUUUAUUAUAUUUCUUAUGGCAGCUAGCAUGACUUUCUCUAUACAGAAGGUGCUUAAAUAUUUGUUGGAUGACAAACUUUACCAAUUGCUGAAUUUUUUCAGGGCAAUUUUUUUGUUUGUUUGUUUUGUUUUUUAGGGCCACACCUGCAGCCUAUGGAAGUGCCCAGGCUAGGGGUCGAAUAGGAGCUGCAGCUGCCAGUGUACACCACAGCCACAGCAAUGACAGAUCUGAGCCAUGUCUGCAACCUACACCACAGCUCACGGCAAUGCCAGAUCCUUAGUCCACUGAGCAAGGCCAGGGAUCGAACCUGCAUCCUCAUGGAUCCUAGUUAGGAUCGUUAACCACUGAGCCACAAAGGAAACUCCCUCAUGGCAAAUUUUAAUGAGCUUGGUCUGGAGAGCAGAGGGGUCACAGCUGAAGUUUAUAGUUCUGUUUUAUAUGGAGGGAGAAGAUUAUAGCUUAAAUGGUUUUGAAAAGGUCUCCCUGAAAUCUGAUGCUGAGGUAGACAUUCCACAGGUCUAAUCCACUUUAUACAAUGCAGGAGUUUGCCAGAGACUUAUUCUAGACAACUGAUACUUGAGUGAGCCCGUCUAAUGGGAAUUUUAAUUAUGCAUUCCUAUAUGGUCUCUAAACUCUGCUCUUGGGAUAAGCUAGAACUCUUUGGUGUGUAAUCUCUGCCCUGAAGGAACCUGUGUUCUGAGGAGGUGUUGCUGUGGCUGUGGUGUAGGCCAGCAGUCCCCUGAAGCAGGAAGGGGAUGAAAGCAGUAUCCUUGCUAAAACAGGGUGUGAAAACCAUUGGACAGAGUUUCAGAAAACACUAUAUCCGUACCACACUGUCUCAGCUUCCUGGGGAAAAGUAUUCACUGAAUUAAAAUCUAGUAUUUUGGCCUCAGAUUUGAUCUGAGAAUGCAAAUUAAUAACAGAAACAUCAAGGUAAAUAGUGUCAUAGUGUCUUUGCAAAAUUUCCAAUGGAAGACGUCCCUCACGUUACCUAAUUCCCUCAGUGAUAGAUGUACCUUUGAAUUCAUUUCCAGGAAAAAUUUUGCUUCUGCUGAUGAACCUGCACACUUUCUUUUAUAUUAAAAAAAAAAUAGCUCUAUGUCCCCACAAUUUCUUUUUCCCUUAGUUACCUGAAAACUCUGAGUUAAAUGAGAGUCCAGUUUUGGAAAUUACCCAUUGCAAGUGGCGACUAAUAUUUAAUUUGGAUUGUUUUAAUGGAUUUGGUUCUGAGGGUCCUUAUUUUGCAAAGAGAAGCAGGCCAGCACUUAUAAAUUGCCUGCCAGGUGCAGGCCUUGUAUUUGUUGUAUAUCUUAUGGGUUAUUUCAUGGAAUGUGUUUAAGAGUCCUGCAAAAUAGGUGUUUUUAUUUUCAGUUUACAGAUAACGCAGCUUAGUUUUAGGGAAUAAGUAACUUGUCCAACGCUAUAUGGUCCUUAAGAUGUUUACCACAUUUUUAGAAAUAAGCAAUGUAUAAAUUCUCAAUAGUGUACAUCUUAUACUCAGAUUGAUAUCAGAAAUUAUCAAACCUAUAUCCCUUUUUUGCUGAAGUAUAAUUGAUUUACAAUGUUGUGUUAGUUUCAGGUGUACAGCAAAGUGAUAUGUAUAUCACUUUUUUUUCAGAUUCUUUUCCCUUAUAGGUUUUUCACAAAAUAUUGAGUAUAUUUCUCUCAAUGCAUGCAAUGAGAGAUGCAAAGUGCUUCAUGAGUUCAGAGGGGGAAGGGAAAUUCCAGGGUCCCAACUCUCCAGGAAUUCAGAAUUCACUGGACCAAGCAGAUACCUAAAUGAGAGUACAAUACAAUGUAAGAACUAUACUGAAAGCAUGUGCACUAUGUUAUAUGCCCUAGAGGAGGAAGAAACAGAUUUUGCCUGUUUCCCAGGUUGAGGAGGAGUGAUUAAGCAACAUGGGCAGUAAGAGAAGGGGAUGAAGAGGGCCAGGGGCUGGGGUUCCAGAACACCUCAAACCUAUCUAAGCAGGCAAGUGCUGCAGCCGGGGGAGGAAGGGUCUUAAGUGGGCAAAAGACAAUCACAGGGAGGAGAGCUGGUCCUAUGAAGUGGAACCUCAGGGAGGGACUAGAUCUACAAUGCUGGGGGGAGACCCAGCAAAGCCACAGAGAUAAUUGGAACCCCAGCCACUGGCCUCAGCCCUAAAGAGUGUGGAGCAAGGCAGGAUCUCUUAGACACACUGUCCAGCCCCUUACUGGGAGAGACAAAGGAGCAUUUCAGUAACAUGCAGUGAGCACUGCAUGUGAGCAGGUGGGCAGUGGACUUGGAGAAGAGGAAGACGUAUAGAUGGUCAUCUGUGGUCUCCAGAGCAGCACCUGGGAAGGUGGCCCAAGGUGGAAAGAGAAGAAUUACACUGACACAAAGGUCCUGAGCCUGGUAACUGGGAGAUGGGUUCACAGGGGCAGGAGGGCUGAUGGGAAGUUAUUUUGGAAGGAUGCUAGGGGCUUGAGCAUGCCUGAAGACAGAGAGGAGAGAGUGAAGACAUGAGAUCAAACUAC